GAUGAACGCUGGCGGCGUGUCUAAGGCAUGCAAGUCGAACGGACUGUUAUUUGUAGCAAUACUUAGAACAGUUAGUGGCAAACGGGUGCGUAACACAUUGGUAACCUGCCUCAAAGUCGGGCAUAAUCCCGCGAAAGUGGGACUAAUUCCACGAUGGUCAUCGAAGGUGAGAUUCCUUCGAUGUAAAGUCGCAAGACGCUUUGAGAGGGGCCUAUGGCCUAUCAGCUUGUUGGUGAGGUAACGGCUCACCAAGGCUAUGACGGGUAGGGGUGUGAGAGCACGACCCCCCUCCACUGGGACGUGAGACACUGCCCGACGACACCUACCGGGUGGGCUGC
rnacentral:rRNA from 1 species